CAUGGAGUUGUUGAGUUGUCUGCUGUGUUUUCUUGCUGCUUGGACUUCAAUUUACAUCAUGUUUUCAGCCAGAAGAGGAAGAAAGCAUGCUGCUCACAAACUUCCUCCAGGACCAGUUCCGCUUCCCAUAAUAGGAAGCCUCUUAAACCUGGGUAACAGACCCCAUGAGUCCCUCGCCAAUCUUGCAAAAACUUACGGCCCAAUUAUGACUCUCAAACUUGGCUAUGUAACCACAAUAGUCAUCUCUUCUGCCCCCAUGGCCAAAGAAGUCCUCCAAAAGCAGGAUCUCUCCUUCUGCAACCGAUCCAUCCCUGAUGCCAUCCGAGCCGCAAAACACAACCAACUGUCGAUGGCCUGGCUACCUGUUUCAACAACUUGGAGAGCCCUUCGAAGGACAUGCAAUUCGCACUUAUUCACUCCUCAAAAACUAGACUCUAACACCCAUCUCCGCCACCAGAAAGUGCAAGAGCUUCUUGCGAAUGUUGAACAGAGCUGCCAAGCUGGUGGUCCUGUAGAUAUAGGCCAAGAAGCUUUUAGAACUAGUCUCAACUUGUUAUCCAACACCAUAUUUUCUGUGGAUCUUGUUGAUCCAAUUUCUGAGACUGCACAAGAGUUUAAAGAGUUGGUGCGUGGUGUGAUGGAGGAAGCUGGGAAACCCAACUUGGUAGAUUAUUUUCCGGUGCUCAGACGGAUUGAUCCACAAAGUAUAAGGCGUCGUUUGACAAUUUAUUUUGGAAGGAUGAUUGAGAUCUUUGAUAGAAUGAUCAAGCAACGGUUACAGCUAAGAAAAAAUCAAGGUUCAAUAGCUAGCAGUGAUGUGUUAGACGUUCUUCUCAACAUCAGUGAAGAUAACAGCAGUGAGAUUGAAAGAAGUCAUAUGGAACAUUUGUUAUUGGUUAGUAUCUUCUAUCUCCAUUUAAAAUUUCUUUCUUCUUCCUUGCUUCAUAUUCCCGCUAUGAAUUUGGUUUGGUUUUUAAUGAUUCAAAUAGCAGUUGGCCAAAUAAACAUUAUAUUCAGGCCUAUUAAGACAUCCAGAGACUAUGUUACAGGACUUAUUUGCUGCGGGGACUGACACAACUUCGAGCACAUUGGAAUGGGCAAUGGCAGAGCUGCUACACAACCCUGAAACACUUUUGAAAGCCCGAAUGGAACUCCUGCAAACCAUCGGCCAAGACAAACAGGUAAAAGAAUCAGACAUCAGUCGACUCCCAUACUUGCAAGCAGUGGUGAAAGAGACCUUCCGAUUGCACCCAGCAGUUCCAUUUUUACUCCCACGCAGAGUUGAAGGGGACGCAGAUAUAGAUGGGUUCGCAGUCCCAAAGAACGCACAGGUGCUGGUGAACGCAUGGGCUAUAGGUCGAGACCCGAACACAUGGGAGAACCCCAACUCAUUUGUGCCAGAGAGGUUCUUGGGGUUGGACAUGGACGUGAAGGGCCAGAAUUUUGAGCUGAUUCCGUUUGGUGCUGGCAGGAGAAUCUGUCCUGGGCUGCCAUUGGCAAUCCGGAUGGUUCACUUGAUGCUGGCCUCGCUCAUUCACUCCUAUGAUUGGAAACUUGAAGAUGGGGUGACACCGGAAAACAUGAACAUGGAAGAAAGAUAUGGCAUUAGUUUACAAAAGGCUCAGCCCCUGCAAGCUCUACCUGUACGGGUUUGAAGUUGUUGAUUUUGUGUGCUGAAGUAAUGUGCUGAUUCUUGGUGUGCUCUGCUGUGUUAUCAUUAACUAGAAAUGUCAGUCCAGUUCUGUCAUAGUGUUAAAUAAACUCGGAAGUCUUUCUAAUUUCCACUUAAAUGGCUAUCAAAUAUGCAUGCAUCCAUGCAUAGCAGCAUAGGUUAUCUUUGUAUUUUUCAAUUGAAGUGUCAAUCAACGUUCAUAAAUAUUUGUUCCAACACAGAGAACGCCCGAUGUCAAUGAAAGGACAAAUGAAAUAUUUGAUCAAAAGAGAUGAAAUAAUUUUUAAAUUGCGGAUAUGAUCAUUUUAUUUUUAUUUUUUAUUUUUUUUAAAGUAACUUAUUUUUUAUAUAAAUAUUUUUUAUUAUUUAUAAAUUUUCAAACAAAAUAUUAUUUUUACUAUAAAAUAUCAAGACAUUUUAGUUAAAAUGAGAUAUAAAAAAAAACGCAUCGUUAAUUUCAAACUUCGAAUUUUUAACACUUUUAAUCACAUAACCCAAAGCAAAUUCCAUACUCUCUAACAAAGAAACUCUCUUAUCUCGUAACUUUGAGAGCUUCUAUUAGGAUCGGUUGAACAGAGAGUUAGAGACUUGAGGCUGCCAAGUGGAGGGAGGAGAGAGAGGCUCUUUAGUAAUUUUCUAAUCAAAUAAAAAUUCAAUUUUAUUUUAAUUUUAAAUGUUUAAUUUCAAAUAGAAAAUAUUUUUGUUGAGAAAAUAAUAAAAAUUUUAUUAUUUUAAUUAAAGAUAAAUAAUAACUAAACAUAUAUAACAUAAUAAAUAUUUUGAAAUUAUGAAUUAAAGAUAGUUGUCGUUUUGCACAUGUUUCACUUGAAUUCAAGUGAGAAUCCAUUUCCCGAAAAAAUUCUUCUUUCUCUGGCAUCCAACGGCUAGCUCGCUUCUAUUCUUCCCAAAAUAUUUUCUUCUUUCUCUGACAUAUAUCAUAUACUGUUCCCAAAAUUUUCUUGCUCUGUACGGCUUGCUCCAACCAAAUAAAGUCUAACACGUCUCCAGUAAUAAAUUCAUUCAAAAGAUUUCAUUAUUUUCUCAAAAAGCAAUCAAAUUAGUCGGAGAUGUUUUCCUUUUUUCUGUUUAACAAAGCAAAAUCACGUGAUAGUUAGACUUUAGACAUGAAACUUUGAUACAAAAUUCAUUGAAUCAACCGAUUUAACAGUAAGGCGAUUAAAACGUUUGAGCCGCCCACUUUUGGAAGACAGAAAAAAAAAUUAUUAUAUAAGUUUCAGCAAUGGGGCUGGGAUCGGAUGCCCCUCUGCUGGUCUCGGCGGUAUCCGGUACUUUAUCUUUCUCUAUUUUUUUUUUCCUAUAUAAUUUGGUUUUAGAAAGGGAGUUGUUGCUUCCUGCUUUGUGUUAUUGUUUGAUCAUUUACUUUUGCGUAUUGGGUCUUCAUCUUGCUUGUUAUUGAGCACGUCCUUGGGAUCGAGGUGACAGGUGAGAACUUUAGAAUGAACUCGUCGGGCUUGGUCCGCUAUUUGGAUACCUUUAAUUUCCUUCCACUCUAUUCGAAUGCUCUUCUGCUGAUCAUUUAGUGGCAUUUUCAGGUUCUUUCCCUCGUAGAUUUUUGGGUGAUUCUGCUGGAGAUGGAGACGGUUCACUCGGAGUUGGAAUGGAGGAACAAAAGGACUCGGACCUAGGUUCGUUUGCACACCAACCACGGUUUCGUUUUGGGUUACAAUUUACAAAAUAUCUUUCUCUUUCAAGUGGGAAUUGCCAGUGGUAAAAGAAAAUGAGUAUUGCUUUCUAAUGGGUACAAUGCAAGGCCUUUUUAUCUUCUAUCACUCGCGUAUAUGGUUGUUUCUGUCACUUGAGAAGAUGCAAUGGAAAAUUGACUAGUAUGAACUGAUAAUACCAGCACUAAUAGCAAUGAUCACCGGUCAAGUUAAUUAGUAGAUAGUAAGAGAGAAAGUAGAAUUUUACUUAAUUAAUGGGUAUUUCUUUGUUUUCAAAUGAUCAGUUGUGCAAAAGAUACAUAGAAAAUGAAAAAUGAAUCUUCUUAAUUAAUCUUAUGAAAGCAUUGAUAAACAACUGAUUAGUUAAAUAACUCAAUCCGAAUAUAAAUUGGGUUUCUCUUUUUCUUUUUUUUUCGGGGUUUUAACAGGUAUGUGUUCGUAGUAACAAAGAAAAUUCUUGCCCGUUGGUAUAUAGAAGUCAAGAAAUCAAAACGUAAAAGUUGAGAGAUACUGCUUGUUGGGGACCACAGCGAAAGAGGAAGAGAGAUAUGGAGUUGUUGAGUUGUCUGCUGUGUUUUCUUGCUGCUUGGACUUCAAUUUACAUCAUGUUUUCAGCCAGAAGAGGAAGCAAACAUACUGCUUACAAACUUCCUCCGGGACCAGUUCCGCUUCCCAUAAUAGGAAACCUCUUAAACCUGGGUAACAGGCCCCAUGAGUCCCUCGCCAACCUUGCAAAAACUUACGGCCCAAUUAUGACUCUCAAACUUGGCUAUGUAACCACAAUAGUCAUCUCUUCUGCCCCCAUGGCCAAAGAAGUCCUCCAAAAGCAGGAUCUCUCCUUCUGCAACCGAUCAAUCCCUGAUGCCAUCCGAGCCGCAAAACACAACCAACUGUCGAUGGCCUGGCUACCUGUUUCAACAACUUGGAGAGCCCUUCGAAGGACAUGCAAUUCGCACUUAUUCACUUCUCAAAAACUAGACUCUAACACCCAUCUCCGCCACCAGAAAGUGCAAGAGCUUCUUGCGAAUGUUGAACAGAGCUGCCAAGCUGGUGGUCCUGUAGAUAUAGGCCGAGAAGCUUUUAGAACUAGUCUCAACUUGUUAUCC
rnacentral:lncRNA from 1 species